GAUGAACGCUGGCGGCGUGCCUAAUACAUGCAAGUCGAGCGAACGGACGAGAAGCUGGCUUCUCUGAUGUUAGCGGCGGACGUGUGAGUAACACGUGGAUAACCUACCUAUAAGACUGGGAUAACUUCGGGAAACCGUAGCUAAUACCGGAUAAUAUUUUGAACCGCAUGGUUCAAAAGUGAAAGACGGUCUUGCUGUCACUUAUAGUUGGAUCCGCGCUGCAUUAGCUAGUUGGUAAGGUAACGGCUUACCAAGGCAACGAUGCAUAGCCGACCUGAGAGGGUGAUCGGCCACACUGGAACUGAGACACGGUCCAGACUCCUACGGGAGGCAGCAGUAGGGAAUCUUACGCAAUGGGCGAAAGCCUGACGGAGCAACGCCGCGUGAGUGAUGAAGGUCUUCGGAUCGUAAAACUCUGUUAUUAGGGAAGAACAUAUGUGUAAGUAACUGUGCACAUCUUGACGGUACCUAAUCAGAAAGCCACGGCUAACUACGUG
rnacentral:rRNA from 1 species